rnacentral:miRNA from 1 species
ACCUGCCGGCUUGGGAGACAUACUUCUUUAUACGCCCAUAUGGACUUGCUGCACUAUGGAAUGUAAAGAAGUAUGUACCCCAGGCUGGGCACUCCCUC